UACGGGGGGAGCGAACGUUGUUCGGAAUUACUGGGCGUAAAGGGCGUGCAGGCGGUCCUGUAAGAGAGUUGUGAAAUGCCCUGGCUCAACCAGGGAAAUGCACCUCUGACUGCAGGACUUGAGUAUGGGAGAGGAUGGGGGAAUUCCCGGUGUAGCGGUGAAAUGCAUUGAUAUCGGGAGGAACACCAGUGGCGAAGGCGCCCAUCUGGCCUAAUACUGACGCUCAGGCGCGAAAGCUAGGGGAGCAAACAGGAUUAGAUACCCUGGUAGUCCUAGCCGUAAACGGUGGGCACUAGGUGUAGGAGGCAUCGACCCCUCCUGUGCCGCAGCUAACGCAUUAAGUGCCCCGCCUGGGGAGUACGACCGCAAGGUUG
rnacentral:rRNA from 1 species